rnacentral:tRNA from 1 species
GCCCAGGUGGCGGAACUGGUAGACGCACAGGACUUAAAAUCCUGCGAAUAGCGAUAUUCGUGCCGGUUCGAUUCCGGCUCUGGGCACCA